rnacentral:rRNA from 1 species
GAUGAACGCUGGCGGCGUGCCUAAUACAUGCAAGUCGAGCGAACAGACGAGGAGCUUGCUCCUUUGACGUUAGCGGCGGAAGGGUGAGUAACACGUAGGUAACCUACCUAUAAGACUGGGAUAACUUCGGGAAACCGGAGCUAAUACCGGAUAAUAUUUCGAACCGCAUGGUUCGAUAGUGAAAGAUGGCUUUGCUAUCACUUAUAGAUGGACCUGCGCCGUAUUAGCUAGUUGGUAAGGUAACGGCUUACCAAGGCAACGAUACGUAGCCGACCUGAGAGGGUGAUCGGCCACACUGGAACUGAGACACGGUCCAGGCUCCUACGGGAGGCAGCAGUAGGUAAUCUUCCGCAAUGGGCGAAAGCCUGACGGAGCGACGCCGCGUGAGUGAAGAAGGUCUUCGGACCGUAAAACUCUGUUAUGAGUGAAGAACAAACGUGUAAGUAACUGUGCGCGACUUGACGGUACCUAAUCAGAAAGCCACGGCUAACUACGU